rnacentral:rRNA from 1 species
ACAGGGAUUGCCCUAGUAACGGCGAGUGAAGCGGCAACAGCUCAAAUUUGAAAUCUGGCGUCUUUGGCGUCCGAGUUGUAAUUUGCAGAGGGCGCUUUGGCAUUGGCAGCGGUCCAAGUUCCUUGGAACAGGACGUCACAGAGGGUGAGAAUCCCGUACGUGGUCGCUAGCCUUUACCGUGUAAAGCCCCUUCGACGAGUCGAGUUGUUUGGGAAUGCAGCUCUAAAUGGGAGGUAAAUUUCUUCUAAAGCUAAAUACUGGCCAGAGACCGAUAGCGCACAAGUAGAGUGAUCGAAAGAUGAAAAGCACUUUGGAAAGAGAGUUAAAAAGCACGUGAAAUUGUUGAAAGGGAAGCGCUUGCAGCCAGACUUGCCUGUAGUUGCUCAUCCGGGUUUCUACCCGGUGCACUCUUCUAUAGGCAGGCCAGCAUCAGUUUGGGCGGUUGGAUAAAGGUCUCUGUCAUGUACCUCCUUUCGGGGAGAACUUAUAGGGGAGACGACAUGCAACCAGCCUGGACUGAGGUCCGCGCAUCUGCUAGGAUGCUGGCGUAAUGGCUGUAAGCGGCCCGUCUUGAAACACGGACCAAGGAGUCUAACAUCUAUGCGAGUGUUUGGGUGUCAAGCCCGAGCGCGUAAUGAAAGUGAACGGAGGUGGGAACCUUUCGGGGUGCACCAUCGACCGAUCCUGAUGUCUUCGGAUGGAUUUGAGUAAGAGCAUAGCUGUUGGGACCCGAAAGAUGGUGAACUAUGCUUGAAUAGGGUGAAGCCAGAGGAAACUCUGGUGGAGGCUCGCAGCGGUUCUGACGUGCAAAUCGAUCGUCAAAUUUGGGCAUAGGGGCGAAAGACUAUCGAAACUAUCUAGUAGCUGGUU